rnacentral:rRNA from 1 species
AUGCAACGCGAAGAACCUUACCUGGUCUUGAUAUCCACGGAAGUUUUCAGAGAUGAGAAUGUGCCUUCGGGAACCGUGAGACAGGUGCUGCAUGGCUGUCGUCAGCUCGUGUUGUGAAAUGUUGGGUUAAGUCCCGCAACGAGCGCAACCCUUAUCCUUUGUUGCCAGCGGUCCGGCCGGGAACUCAAAGGAGACUGCCAGUGAUAAACUGGAGGAAGGUGGGGAUGACGUCAAGUCAUCAUGGCCCUUACGACCAGGGCUACACACGUGCUACAAUGGCGCAUACAAAGAGAAGCGACCUCGCGAGAGCAAGCGGACCUCAUAAAGUGCGUCGUAGUCCGGAUUGGAGUCUGCAACUCGACUCCAUGAAGUCGGAAUCGCUAGUAAUCGUGGAUCAGAAUGCCACGGUGAAUACGUUCCCGGGCCUUGUACACACCGCCCGUCACACCAUGGGAGUGGGUUGCAAAAGAAGUAGGUAGCUUAACCUUCGGGAGGGCGCUUACCACUUUGUGAUUCAUGACUGGGGUGAAGUCGUAACAAGGUAACCGUAGGGGAACCUGCGGUUGGAUCAC